UUUUAUUAUAGUGAGCGUCAAUACGAAGGGAGCUUCAAAAAACAAGAGAUCAGCUCAAAGGAUGCAAAAAAUUAAUUGAGGAUGAAUUACAAGAAAGACAUGAACUUGAACAAUGCAAAGAGGAU